CACUUGGAAACAGGUGCUAAUACCGUAUAACAAUGAAAACCGCAUGGUUUUCAUUUGAAAGAUGGUUUCGGCUAUCACUUGAGGAUGGACCCGCGGCGUAUUAGCUAGUUGGUGAGGUAAUGGCUCACCAAGGCGAUGAUACGUAGCCGACCUGAGAGGGUAAUCGGCCACAUUGGGACUGAGACACGGCCCAAACUCCUACGGGAGGCAGCAGUAGGGAAUCUUCCACAAUGGACGAAAGUCUGAUGGAGCAACGCCGCGUGAGUGAAGAAGGGUUUCGGCUCGUAAAACUCUGUUGUUAAAGAAGAACAGGUGUAAGAGUAACUGUUUACACCGUGACGGUAUUUAACCAGAAAGCCACGGCUAACUACGUGCCAGCAGCCGCGGUAAUACGUAGGUGGCAAGCGUUGUCCGGAUUUAUUGGGCGUAAAGCGAGCGCAGGCGGUCUUUUAAGUCUGAUGUGAAAGCCUUCGGCUUAACCGGAGAAGUGCAUCGGAAACUGGGAGACUUGAGUGCAGAAGAGGACAGUGGAACUCCAUGUGUAGCGGUGAAAUGCGUAGAUAUAUGGAAGAACACCAGUGGCGAAGGCGGCUGUCUGGUCUGUAACUGACGCUGAGGCUCGAAAGCAUGGGUAGCGAACAGGAUUAGAUACCCUGGUAGUCCAUGCCGUAAACGAUGAGUGCUAAGUGUUGGAGGGUUUCCGCCCUUCAGUGCUGCAGCUAACGCAUUAAGCACUCCGCCUGGGGAGUACGACCGCAAGGUUGAAACUCAAAGGAAUUGACGGGGGCCCGCACAAGCGGUGGAGCAUGUGGUUUAAUUCGAUGCUACGCGAAGAACCUUACCAGGUCUUGACAUCUUCUGCUAACCCAAGAGAUUGGGCGUUCCCUUCGGGGACGGAAUGACAGGUGGUGCAUGGUUGUCGUCAGCUCGUGUCGUGAGAUGUUGGGUUAAGUCCCGCAACGAGCGCAACCCUUAUUGUUAGUUGCCAGCAUUUAGUUGGGCACUCUAGCAAGACUGCCGGUGACAAACCGGAGGAAGGUGGGGACGACGUCAAAUCAUCAUGCCCCUUAUGACCUGGGCUACACACGUGCUACAAUGGACGGUACAACGAGUCGCGAAACCGCGAGGUCAAGCUAAUCUCUUAAAGCCGUUCUCAGUUCGGAUUGCAGGCUGCAACUCGCCUGCAUGAAGUUGGAAUCGCUAGUAAUCGUGGAUCAGCAUGCCACGGUGAAUACGUUCCCGGGC
rnacentral:rRNA from 2 species